UACGAGGGGGGCAAAUGUUGUUCGGAAUCACUGGGCGUAAAGAGCGUGUAGGCGGCCUCGUAAGUCCGCUGUGAAAGUCCAGGGCUCAACCCUGGAAAGCCGGUGGAUACUGCGAGGCUAGAGUCCGGAAGGGGCGAGUGGAAUUCCUGGUGUAGCGGUGAAAUGCGCAGAUAUCAGGAGGAACACCAAUGGCGAAGGCAGCUCGCUGGGACGGUACUGACGCUGAGACGCGAAAGCGUGGGGAGCAAACAGG
rnacentral:rRNA from 1 species